CACGUAGGGGGCGAGCGUUGUCCGGAUUUAUUGGGCGUAAAGAGCUCGUAGGCGGCUCGGUAAGUCGGGUGUGAAAUUUCGAGGCUCAACCUCGAAACGCCACCCGAUACUGCUGUGGCUAGAGUCCGGUAGGGGAGCGUGGAAUUCCUGGUGUAGCGGUGAAAUGCGCAGAUAUCAGGAGGAACACCAGCGGCGAAGGCGGCGCUCUGGGCCGGUACUGACGCUGAGGAGCGAAAGCGUGGGGAGUCAAACAGGA
rnacentral:rRNA from 1 species